rnacentral:rRNA from 1 species
UACGUAGGCAGCGAGCGUUGUUCGGAGUUACUGGGCGUAAAGGGCGUGUAGGCGGCCUUGCAAGUCAGGCGUGAAAUCCCUGGGCUCAACCCAGGAAUUGCACUUGAAACUGCAAGCCUUGAGUGUCGGAGAGGAAAGUGGAAUUCCUGGUGUAGAGGUGAAAUUCGUAGAUAUCAGGAGGAACACCGGUGGCGAAGGCGGCUUUCUGGACGACAACUGACGCUGAGACGCGAAAGCGUGGGGAGCAAACAGG